GCGCUUAAGAGUAACGGCCGGUAGCUAGGCUAACACCCAGCUUGUGUGGCUCUCGUACUUUCUUGUUCACAGGCAUGCUCUGAGUGCCUUUUGCCUCCCGCCAUGAUUCUGAGGCCUCCGCAGCCCUGUGGAACUGUAAGUCCAAUUAAACUUUUUCUUCCCAGUCACAGGUAUGUCUUUAUCAGCAGCAUGAAAAUGGACUAAUACAGAAAAUUGGUAUCAGUAGAGUGGGGUGUUGCUGAAAAGAUACCCGAAAAUGUGAAAGCAACUUUGCAAGUGGGUAACAGGCAGAGAUUGGAACAGUUUGGAGGACUCAGAAGAAGACAGGAAAAUGUGGGAAAGCUUGGAACUUCCUAGAGACUUGUUGAAUGCCUUUGACAAAAAUGCUGAUAGUGAUAUGAACAAUAAGGUCCAGGCUGAGGUGGUUUCAGAUGGAGAUGAGGAAAUUGUUGGGAACUGGAGCAAAGGUGACUCUUGUUAUGUUUUAGAAAAGAGACAGAUGGCAUUUUCUCCCCACCCUAGAGAUUUAUGGAACUUUGAACUUGAGAGAGAUGAUUUAGCGUAUCUGGCAGAAGAAAUUUCUAAGCAGCAAAGUGUUCAAAAGGUGACUCGGGUGCUAUUAAAAGCAUUCCAUUUUAAAAAGGAAACAGAACAUAAAAGUUUAUAAAAUUCGUAGCCUGACAAUGCAGUGGAAAAAAAACCAUUUUCUGAGGAGAAAUUCAAGACAGCUGUAGAAAUUUGCACAAGAAGCCUAAUGUUAAUCCCCAAAACCAUGGGAAAAUGUCUCCAGGCCGUGUCAGAGACCUUCAUGGCAGCCCCUCCCAUUACAGGCCUGGAGGUCCAGGAUGAAAAACUGGUUUAAUGGGCCAGGCCCAGGGUCCCCAUGCCAUGUGCAGCCUAGGGACUUGGUGUCCUGUGUCCCAGCCACUCCAGCCAUAGAUGAAAGGGGCCAACAUAGAGCUCAGGUUGUGUCUUCAGAGGGUGGAGGCCUUGGCACCUUUUAUGUGGUGUUGAGCCUGUAGGUGCACAGAAGUCAAGAAUUGAGGUUUGGGAACCUCCACCUAGAUUUUAGAAGAUGUAUGAGAAGGCCUGGAUGCCCAGGCAAAAUUUGCUGCAGGGGUGGGGCUCUCAUGGAGAACCUCUGCUAGGGCAGCACAGAAGGGAAAUGUGGGUUUGGAGCCCCCACACAAAUUCCCUACCUGGGUACGGCCUAGUGGAGCUGUGAGAAGAGGGCCACCGUCCUCCAGACCCCAGAAUGGUAGAUCCACCAACAACUUGUGCUGUGUACUUGGAAAAGCCACAUGCACUCAAUGCCAGCCUGUGAAAGCAGCCGGGAGGGAGACUGUACUCUGCAAAGCCACAGGAGUGGAGCUGCCCAAGACCAUGGGAACCCACCCCUUGCCCCAGCAUGACCUGGAUGUCAGACCUGGAGUCAAAGGAGAUCGUUUUGGAGCUUCAAAAUUUGGCUGCCCCACUGGAUUUCAGACUUUCAUGGGGACUUGUAACCCCUUUGUUUUGGCCAAUUUCUCCCAUUUGGAAUGGCUGUAUUUAUCUAAUCCCUGUAUCCCCAUUGUGUCUAGGAAGUAACUAGCUUAUUUUGCAGGCUCAUAGGUGGAAGGGAUUUGCCUUGUCUCAGAUGAGACUUUGGACUGUGGACUUUUGGGUAAUUGCUGAAACGAAUUAAGACUUUGGGGGACUGUUGGGAAGGCAUGAUUGGUUUUGAAAUGUGAGGACAUCAGAUUUGGAGGGGACUGAGGCAGAAGGAUAUGGUUUGGCUGUGUAUCCACCCAAAUCUCUACUUGAAUUGUAUCUCCCAGAAUUCCAUGUGUUGUGGGAGGGACCCAGGGGGAGGUAAUUGAAUCAUGGGGGCCAGUCUUUCCUGAGCUAUUCUCAUGAUAGUGAAUAAGUCUCGCGAGAUAUGAUGGGUUUCUCAGGGGUUUCUGCUUUUGCUUCUUUCUGAUUUUUCUCUUGCUGCCACCAUGUAAGAAGUGCCUUUCACCUCCUGCCAUGAUUCUGAACCCUCCCCAGCCAUGUGGA
ensembl:lncRNA novel transcript